ACGCUGGCGGCGUGCCUAAUACAUGCAAGUAGAACGCUGAAGGAGGAGCUUGCUUCUCUGGAUGAGUUGCGAACGGGUGAGUAACGCGUAGGUAACCUGCCUGGUAGCGGGGGAUAACUAUUGGAAACGAUAGCUAAUACCGCAUAACAGUAGAUAUUGCAUGAUAUCUGCUUGAAAGGUGCAAUUGCAUCACUACCAGAUGGACCUGCGUUGUAUUAGCUAGUUGGUGAGGUAACGGCUCACCAAGGCGACGAUACAUAGCCGACCUGAGAGGGUGAUCGGCCACACUGGGACUGGGACACGGCCCAGACUCCUACGGGAGGCAGCAGUAGGGAAUCUUCGGCAAUGGACGGAAGUCUGACCGAGCAACGCCGCGUGAGUGAAGAAGGUUUUCGGAUCGUAAAGCUCUGUUGUAAGAGAAGAACGAGUGUGAGAGUGGAAAGUUCACACUGUGACGGUAUCUUACCAGAAAGGGACGGCUAACUACGUGCCAGCAGCCGCGGUAAUACGUAGGUCCCGAGCGUUGUCCGGAUUUAUUGGGCGUAAAGCGAGCGCAGGCGGUUAGAUAAGUCUGAAGUUAAAGGCUGUGGCUUAACCAUAGUACGCUUUGGAAACUGUUUAACUUGAGUGCAAGAGGGGAGAGUGGAAUUCCAUGUGUAGCGGUGAAAUGCGUAGAUAUAUGGAGGAACACCGGUGGCGAAAGCGGCUCUCUGGCUUGUAACUGACGCUGAGGCUCGAAAGCGUGGGGAGCAAACAGGAUUAGAUACCCUGGUAGUCCACGCCGUAAACGAUGAGUGCUAGGUGUUAGACCCUUUCCGGGGUUUAGUGCCGUAGCUAACGCAUUAAGCACUCCGCCUGGGGAGUACGACCGCAAGGUUGAAACUCAAAGGAAUUGACGGGGGCCCGCAC
rnacentral:rRNA from 1 species